CAGUCAGAACAUUUCCAUAGAGAGCCACUUUGCAUCAGCAGCACCAUGCUCCAGUGCUCUGGGAGAGUUUAUAGUCCUGACAGUUGAACACUGGAUGACUGACAGCUGUCCUUCAUCACAACAGAAAUCCUCGUCCUCAUCAUCAAAAACAUGACUUUCAUCUGCGUCCUCAUCUUGACUCUCCUCCUCUGCUGCUGCUUCACAGAGUCCAGAGGACAGGUCACAGUGACUCAGCCUGCAGCAGUGACCUCUGCUCUGGGAGCCUCCGUCUCCAUCUCAUGUAGGACCAGUCAGGAUGUUUAUUAUAGCAGCUACCACUUUUUAGCCUGGUACCGACAGAAAGAUGGAGGAACUCCUAAACUGCUUAUAUACGCUGCUAGCACUCGAGCAUCAGGGAUUCCAGGUCGUUUUUCAGGCAGUGGAUCAAACUCUGCCUUCACUAUGACCAUCAGUGGAGUCCAGACUGAAGAUGCAGCAGUUUACUACUGUCAGAGUUUACACUAUAUCAACAGUCAGUAUGUGUUCACACAGUGAAAUAGCAUCGUACAA